UCCACCCUCUCCUAUAUCCUCCCCCUCCCCCUCCCCUCCCUCCCCCUACUACCCACACCCACGCACCGCCCACCCCUGCACAUCCCCCACGGCGUCACACCUGCGAGGGCGCCCACCUGUUCAAACACCGCUCAGCCCACGCCAGUACAGCGGCGAGUUCCUGGAGGCAUGGGCGUCGGGCGUGGGCGUCGUCGGGAUGUGGGCGGGCAUGAGCAGCGCCUAAUAUGGAGGAUGACGACAAUGACUUGCAGAAAUUCCCGUUGAUGGUUCCCUUCGGUGCCAGUGGAGUGCCAAGGGACGGGUGGCACUGGGGGCGAGCGGCGAAUGGCACCCUGUCUUCGGAGGGAGACUUGAGGAGGAGAUGAGAAACGGCAAAGGGUUAAAAUGGAGGGAGAGGAGAG